UUGCACAUUUUAGCUUAACAAUUUAACAACGGCAGUUUUAAAUUUGUCCCGAACGUAAUUACUUUUUGCGCAUAGCAAAGCCUUUAUGUGAUCUAGCAACUGGAUCGAUACUGGAUGACAGUUCGAUUAUCCAAUCAGAAUCAGCUGUCAACAAAGGGUGUUGCCAGAAUACAAAUAUGCACAAUUUUCAGAAUAUUUAAUUAUUUAGAAUUAACAAUUUAAAUGUAAUUAAUAAAUCAGAAAAUAGUCACUUUAUUGUUGGAAAAUUAUAUGGAAUUUUGUGCACUAGGAUUUUCAGUUGGUUGAAAUUUAUUUCUGCAGAGGACUGCUGAGGUGGUCAUUUUAGAUGUUAUCCCCAAGCCUCUCAAGGUCGUUAGGGCUCCUGAGAUCAUUUCCUGCACUUGCUAGCUGUCUCCGGUCCUGUUCAGGCCUCCAGUGCCUGCUUUUAUUUAUCGAGUUUCAUCUUCGAUCCAAAAAGUGAUCAGAUUGAUGGAGUGCUGGCGGUCAAUCCUUGUGUAGCCUAAGGGCAUUCUGGAGGAAUAUUUUCCCACCAUGAAUAUCUUCUGGUGGACUAUGUGGAGGGAAGGGUCGUCAGAGCUGAGAAAAUGAGCUCUCUCAAGUUCCAGCUGCUGACUGGGAAUUAAAACUAUAUUUACAAUUACAAUUACAACUAAAUCUGUGUUUAGGCCUACUCCAGGUUAUACUGGUUAUACAGACAUUCAAGUAAUGUCUUCUUUAUAAAGGGGGGCCGGUUUGUCCGGCAACUCCAAUUUUACCACAAGCGUCGAAUGGUGCGAUAGCUUGCUUCCGGGGUCGAGCCUAUCCAGGCGAAGAAGAUGCUCUCAACUUGCUGAUGCGUCGGUUGCGGUGGUGCUUCAUUGUGUCACAGCGCCUGGGGCGACCAGCUUCAGCUCGCAGAAGGAGGGCUUACACAUUGUAUUAGCGGUAACUUCUGGCUUGAAGGUUGGUGUCAUUUUCUUUCUUCCUGGAAGGCAAGAUUACUUAGUUUAGUUAAGAAGAAUUCCUAUUAUCUAUGUUGGCACUGAUAACUAGGGACUAACAGAACUUAGGAACGCUUGUAAAUCAUUUAGAAUUGAACUAUUGCACGGCCCAGCUCUACCGUCUGGCAAUACAUAUUAAGGUGCUAGCUUAAGCUUAGAAUAAUGAUUUACUGGCUAUAACUUGCUUUGUGUCCGUUAGACAAUAAAAUAGUGUGUCACAA